rnacentral:rRNA from 1 species
CCGCAUAAUGUCGCAAGACUAAAGAGGGGGACCUUCGGGCCUCUUGCCAUCGGAUGUGCCCAGAUGGGAUUAGCUAGUAGGUGGGGUAACGGCUCACCUAGGCGACGAUCCCUAGCUGGUCUGAGAGGAUGACCAGCCACACUGGAACUGAGACACGGUCCAGACUCCUACGGGAGGCAGCAGUGGGGAAUAUUGCACAAUGGGCGCAAGCCUGAUGCAGCCAUGCCGCGUGUAUGAAGAAGGCCUUCGGGUUGUAAAGUACUUUCAGCGGGGAGGAAGGGAGUAAAGUUAAUACCUUUGCUCAUUGACGUUACCCGCAGAAGAAGCACCGGCUAACUCCGUGCCAGCAGCCGCGGUAAUACGGAGGGUGCAAGCGUUAAUCGGAAUUACUGGGCGUAAAGCGCACGCAGGCGGUUUGUUAAGUCAGAUGUGAAAUCCCCGGGCUCAACCUGGGAACUGCAUCUGAUACUGGCAAGCUUGAGUCUCGUAGAGGGGGGUAGAAUUCCAGGUGUAGCGGUGAAAU